CGUUUGAAUAAAAUCUUGGAUGAUAUGCAAAAGGGAUUUCUAUCUAUCUCUUCCUCUCUUUUUCUUCCUCCCUGUUCCCUCGGCUCGGUUUUUAUUGGAGAAAAGACGGAGGUGGUAGUCAUAAAGGCGAGAAACGUUCAUGUACGUACGUGCUUUCAUUUCCGGUGUGUGAAAUACGACCGUUUCGAGGAUACAGAAUAAAGAGAGAUGAUUAAUUCGAUCCAAUUAAUGUGUAGCAACGAGAAAUUAAAACGUGAGCGUGAGAGAAAGUGGGAUGAGUCGGGCGAAGCCAAAGCACAGAUUUUGCUACAUCGCGUUUCCAGUGACUCGAUGUUAGAUCAAAAACUAUCGUCGUCCAUGAAAACACUGUGCAGAGUAUAAAAAUGUCCACGUACAUAACUCUCCUCGCAUUCGGAUGACUGGGUGUAGAGAAAAGCUCGAAGCUUCUCAGGAAUUUCAUCAUCUCAUGGACGAAGCUUUUUCUACGAUUGCAAUGGAAUUAAAUAUUCUUGUUCAUCAGGAAAAUUAAAUUACAAAGCAAUUUGUCUUCGAUCCUUAAUUAUGUUUUUCUUUUUAUUUCCCCUCAAUAACGUCGCUAUUCUGCACGCUUUUAUAAAGUGAACUCUUAAAUCUUUUCAGUUGAAUAUUUCACACUUUUUUCACCGGUUUCUCUCGAUUUAUUUUCUCAUAUAUUGAGCUUGCACACGCAUAAAAGAUAUUGUACUUUAAACUAGAAAACUCGUUACUAACGGUUUUCCAAAGUAUACCCCACGUUUCCACAUAUAUAUGCUCGUAUAUUAACACGAAUAUAGCACAAACGCGAAUACAAAUAAGCUCUCGUCGGGCAAUUUGUCGUAAAUAGUAGGAUUUAUUUCGGUGAGAAAAUUUUUUCCAAUCGCCGUCGCGCCAUUAUUGCUCGUUCUUGUGACCUUUGAUACGCUUCCCGUCCUUCGUUCCUCUCGUUGCUGUUCUCCCGUACGAAAACAUAUAAACACGAACCGAUGUAUAAUGUAAACACGUGUCUCAUUCGCUACAAACGAAAUCAAUAGUGCGUCAAAUCCAUGAUACAUUGAACCGUAUACAAUGAACAAAAAUGAACAUACACAAUUCUGCAACUUUUCGUAAUAUCGAAUGAUUUGUUCGUCAUUUUUAUUGGACACGAAAUUGCAUUUUUUAUGGCACAGACGUUUUUUGCACUUUUGAAGAAAUUUAACGUUCGCGUGUCGUGGUCGUCGUCGAAUCAACGCGCAGGGCUCUAAAUUAUUUUUUCAUUCGUCGUUCACAAUUCGUCAAGACUGUUUAAACGAAAGGAGGGUCUGAGCGUGAAAAAAAAAACGAUGAGAAAAGAUUCCGAGUCGACGGCACACUAUAGAAAAUGGCGGUACUGAAACUACCUGCUUCCCAGCACUUCCUACAAUGACUGCUCGGCGAAAUAAUAACAGUAUAUCGAUUCAUCUGAAUUAUUAAUUCUUUGAUAAAAUAUUAUUCCGAUAUCUGUUCCUGGUUCGUCCUCAUUCGUAAUUCAUGGAAAGAAAUAUCACUCUAAAACGUCUGCAUUUUUCUAUCUCUGCAUUUGCAUGAAAUUCGUUCCCCUACAAUGUCCUUCUUUUAUAAUUGACAAUGGAAGUGUACCGUUCUUUUUUAUGGCUGGUUCGAGAGACGGAAAUUGUAGCAAAAUACAAUUGUGUGCGUGCGUUCGUGAACGUAGACACAAAAAUAGAAAUGCGUGAAAAUCGAGAUUUUUGAGCGUGAGUUCGCGCCCACAGGAAUUGAUCAGGAAUCGUAACAUUCGAGAAUGAAAAUGUGUGAACAAUAAUUUGAGGUUAAUUGUCGCAGCAAUAAAGAAAAAAUUAAUGAAUAAAAUAAUUUUUUGAAUUUUUUCAAAAUAAAAGUGGCAUCGAAAUAUUUGAAUUUGUAUUUUGUACGUGAAAAAAAUGUCCACGAUUUUU